GCAGCAGCUAAGAAUCUUCCGCAAUGGGCGAAAGCCUGACGGAGCGAUGCCGCGUGAGUGAAGAAGGCGGGAACGUUGUAAAACUCUUUUCUCGGGGAGGAAUAAGGAGGGGAGGUAAUGCCCCUUUGAUGACGCGAACCGAGGAAUAAGCCCCGGCUAAUUACGUGCCAGCAGCCGCGGUAACACGUAAGGGGCGAGCGUUGUUCGGAAUUAUUGGGCGUAAAGGGCGUGUAGGCGGCGAUGUAAGCCUGGUGUGAAAGACUUCAGCUUAACUGGAGAGCCGCGCUGGGAACUAUGUUGCUUGAGUAUAGGAGGGGGAGCUGGAAUUCCAGGUGUAGGGGUGAAAUCUGUAGAUAUCUGGAAGAACACCGGAGGCGAAGGCGAGCUCCUGGCCAUAUACUGACGCUGAGGCGCGAAAGCGUGGGGAGCGAACAGGAUUAGAUACCCUGGUAGUCCACGCUGUAAACGUUGUGCACUAGGUGUCGGACUUACGGGUUCGGUACCGAAGUUAACGCGAUAAGUGCACCGCAUGGGGAGUAUGCUCGCAAGGGUGAAACUCAAAGGAAUUGACGGGGGCCCGCACAAGCGUUGGAGCAUGUGGUUUAAUUCGAUGAUACGCGAGAAACCUUACCAGGGUUUGACAUAUAGCAGACGGUCGUAGAGAUACGGCUUCCAUUCGGGGCUGUUAUACAGGUGCUGCAUGGCUGUCGUCAGCUCGUGCUGUGAAGUGUUGGGUUAAGUCCCGCAACGAGCGCAACCCCUACUGUCUGUUACCAUCAGUAAGUUGGGGACUCAGACGGUACUGCCGGUGACAAACCGGAGGAAGGUGGGGAUGACGUCAAGUCAUCAUGGCCCUUAUGUCCUGGGCUACACACGUGCUACAAUGGCCGGUACAGAGCGCAGCAAAACCGCGAGGUGGAGCAAAUCGCAGAAAGCCGGUCUCAGUACAGAUUGGAGUCUGAAACUCGACUCCAUGAAGCUGGAAUCGCUAGUAAUCGCACAUCAGCAUGGUGCGGUGAAUACGUUCCCGGGCAUUGUACACACCGCCCGUCACACCACCCGAGUUGGGGGCACCCGAAUCGCUCGUCUAACCGGC
rnacentral:rRNA from 1 species